UUCUUGUUUAAAAAUCAAUUUAUCAACCAAUCAGUCAACCACAGAUUGAGACAUAAAUUCUCAGCUUUGAAUUAUUUUCUUCAUAACCAGAAAAGGUCUUCCAAGCAGUUCCCAAAUUAUUAGAAAUAAACUUUUUCCAUAAAAAGCAUUGAUUGACAGUUUAAUUUAUGCUUAUCAUCUUCCUUUCAUUUAGGAAUAAAAAUUUAAACAGAAAUUCUGAAAGCGUUGUUUUGUCAGAUAUGUGUUUACCUUGGAGCAAGGGACAAAAUAUCCGGCAAGGUUAAAGGAAGAGAAGGAAGAAAGUUAAUUAAAUGUUUACUUUUGUCUUUAUCUGAUUUAUCAUGCAAUUUCCUGCCUUAUUCUCCCUGUUUACUAAAUAAUUUUUAAAUACAUUCCUUUUAUUUGCAAAUACAGGAGCAAAAAUUAGAUAGGAACUUGAUAAUGCAAAACAAGUACAAUAGAACAUAUAUUAUUGUCACUAACAUCCAUACCCUUCAAAACAAGCUGAAAUAAAUUACAUUUAUUCUAGUAUUAGAAGUUGUCAGGUAGAAAGGAAUCACCCUUAAAUGAGAAAAACCUGAUCUAUAACUGGCUGGGAGAACUUUGUUCUCUUUUAGUUUUCGGGUUUUUUUUCCUUUUCCUGUGAAAGAAAAUGAGAGUUUCUUGUAUUGACUUUCCUGUUAAUUUUUAUUUUCUCUGUAGACAACUGAGAAGUUUUUAUUGUCUUGCAUCCACAUUUUAAAAAGCAAAACAUAUCAAGCAAAAAUCAAUUAGGUCCCAGCUUUAUCCCAACAGCUAUUGAAGCUGGAGGACCCUAAACUAACAUGCAAUUUAAUCUGUGGAAAAAUGAUAGUGGACAAAAGUUGAAAUUAAUUCAUUAAACUAAUAUAGUUACAUCUCCAUUGUAUUUAAUUGUUGUGAGGUUACAGUCUCUAUAAAACUCUAUCUGCAUUUUUUUCAUAAUCACUGAAAUUAAACCACAGCACUGAAAGGUGCCUAUGUGAGAUGUCUGCCUCAGGCUGAGUAUUUGGGGUGACUUUUAAGCUAAAAUAUCAUAUUUUCUUAAAAAAAAAUGCUAAAAAGUCCAUUACAAAAUUCUAGCAUUUUCUUUCUUUUGAGCAAUGAGAAGGAAUUCAUCAGGGCUGAGAUGGUGCUCUCUGUCUAGUAUCAAGAGUGUGUCAUUUCAUACGUGAAUUAAAAGGUUGGACCAAGCCUAGAGGGGUCAGGGGAAAAACAAGAGCAAAAGAACAACUAUUAAAAAAUGCUUUUUUCACAUAUUGAGUUGAAACUACAUAGCAUUUGGCUUCUGUAGGAAGAGGAGGGAAGGCAGAAGUUUGUCUGGAAUGCCAAGUGAAAAUCAAGACUAUAUACACAGAGUUUCUGUCUUCUGCUUAACCUGCACUUCCCCCUGCCGAUGUCCUGGUGAGGAGGAGGAAGUGGAAUGGAAAUAAGUGAAUAGCCUGGAGGGAAAGUGCAAGGUCAAGAAACAAAAAGCAGAUGUUAUGAUGUUGGAAAAUAGGACUCCUGAGAAACAGAAGACAAGAAGGUUAGGUAAGAGCUAUGAAAUUGGAAUAAAAACUACUUUAUCUUCACACUAUGCCACUGCAUUUUUUUCUCUCUAGUGUGGGGGGUGGGAGGGGAAUGGGGGGAAGGAAAAGAAAAAACUAUCCAUGCAAGAGGAAACCUUAAAAUACAUUAAUUUUAAGAUGGAACAUUUUGUCAGCAUCUCAUACCUUUUUCCUUAUGCUUUUUAAUGCCACUGUUUUGGUCUUGAAUGUAGAUCCUAACCUUUAAACUGACAGCUCUGAGGUACCUUCUCUCUAUUACCAAAUGUGCAAACUAAAUUGGGAAAUUUCUAAGGAAGCAAUAGAGUAAUUAGUCUGACAGAGAAAUCACAUGGCAGGAAAAAGUAUGAAAUCUGUUUGUAGUAGUUUAUGCUUUGGUGAGUUAAUUUAAAUAUAUAUAUUUACAGUGACCACUCUUUUAUUGUUGACUUUGUUUUCUUGAAAAUGAUUAUUAUAAUGUCUUUAUGUUGUUGUACGAACAUACUUUAUCUGGGAUACUUCAAAAGUCAUUUUGGAACAGCAGGGUACAUUUAGUUCUAAAGGAAAACGUAGGGGGGAAAAAUAGACAUAAAAAAUUCUAAAUCUGAUGUAUACAUUUAGACAUAUCUUUCAUUAUUUUGAUUGUAAUGGAAGAAAACAAUGGUGUGCAAAAAUAAUUAUAAAAUUUCUGACGAUUUCUUCAAUAUCUGUUGGUGGAUUUGCUAUAAAGGCUAGAGAAAGGCUAUCUCUCCACCGUAUCCCUCUUCAGGAAGAAAGGAACUUGGCUUUGUGCCCUUAUUUCCACAUAGUACAAACCCUCUGGAAAUUCACUCAUCAUUUCAGUAACAGACUGAAUUUGAUUAAUCACUGUGUUAAAUUAGUAAGUUUCAAAGUCCACUAUAAAACUGCAGUAUAGUUAGUAAAUGCUUACUAAGACAAAGUUCCUGUGAUACCAAGGUCUCCACCUAAGUGGAUAUCACAAGUGGAAACAAGCUCCUCUUCAGGAAAGCCAUUGAAAUUCACCUUUGGCACAUUAUAGCAAACUGUCUGCUUUUGCCCUUUGGUUGGAUUUUAGAAUAACAAAUGUAAAAGUGCUCUUCAGAGAGCUGAUUGGAAAAGACAGUGUAAUUAAUAACAAUAUUUUGUUGAGUAUUUGUGGUUCAGAUGCUUCUUGUUUUAGAAGAGUACACUAACUCACUUUUCCUUCACUCAGUGGCACUCAACUUGAAAAGCAAUCCUAAGAGAAACCCACUUAUGAAGAAAGCUGGGGUUUUGUUGGGGUUUGUUUGUUUGGUUGGUUGGGUUUUUUCACUUAUGCUGAUAGAACUAGGAUUUACCCUUGCUCCUCAAUUUGAGUCAAACAAAAUCCACAGCUAAUGCAGAUUUGCCACCUACACUUUUGUGAACGAAAGUGUCCUAUAUUUAAAGCAAUCAACUUACAAAUUUAACUGCAUAAAUCUUUGCUUGUACAUAAGUUCCAACAUUUUUCCCUCCUCCUCUUCCUGCCUCUUCCCCAUAUGUGUUUAUAGAGCUGUCACUGAAGGGGACAUAGCAAAUCUCACAGUCCCAAAUAAAGCUCUGUUUGAAAAUAAUGAUGAUGAUAGUCAUACAUUACCUCAUCACCAUAUUUGCUCUUUUGACUGCAGUCUCAUGUCAUUGUUAGGAUGAAAACAAGCUACUUUCAUAGUAGGAUAUUUCUUUUAAUGUUCCAUUUUUAAAAUAAAUUUGCUGCAGCAUGUUGAGAAAACCUUUAAAAUAUUUCACAGUGUGUGACUGAUGUACUGCAUUGUUUCACCAAAUGAUACUACAUAAUCUGAUGCUACAUAAUCCCCACUGCUAUGGACUAGCUCGUAUCUUUUACACAGAUUUUCUCAAAGGAUGUUGUACACCUAAAAGUACAAUAUCACAAGAUUUGCUUUACUGUUCAUGACCAAGGGGUUAAUUUAAUGUCUGAAAAGUAGACAACAGAUUCUUCUUGACUUCAGAUAAUGCUGGACUGGACACCAGACAUUGGAUUCAUCUCCAUCUACACCCACAUAUCUAAACCGGUAACCUGUAUCUGAACUGGUUAUUCAGACUUCUUCCAUAGCCUGGAGAAAAAGAGGUUCUUAUUGUAUACUGCUUAACAUAUUCUAAGAUAGAAGACUUAGGAAACAUACCUCUCAGCACCCCUCCUUUUUGUUUUUGGGGUUUUUUUAGGGCAGGCCUUCAGACACAGAAGGAAAUUUUAAAACACCGCCAUUUGAGGAAACUUUUCCAGUUUAAAACAAAAGCUGAAUUUGCUUUGAAAUAUUUAAAUUGUAUAACGUUUGACAUAAUUAAAUAUGUAACUGCUGAUACUUUAAACUUUUUCUCUCACUGUGUUUCAAUGCUUUAUAUUUUGAAGGCAAGUCUUUUGAUUUUUAAUAUUUGUAAUAAUAGGUGUUCUAAUUAUGGAGAUAAUACAUCUUUUUAUUUAAUUUGUCCUCUUUGAUGUUCCCAGGCAACCUAAUGUGUUGAAGCCUGAAGAAAAGGUUUAUUCUGUAGUAGAACAAAGAUAGAAAAACUGCUUGAACAGGUUGCAAAGGAAUCAGCGGUUAAGAGAAGGUUGGACACCUUGCUCCUGACAAGUGAACUGCCAAGGGGAUGAGGACUAUAGAGAUAUGAAUGACUAGAAAUUUGCUCAGUUAUUGCCACAGUUUCAAAAGAUUUCAUGUGUCACCUUGAAUGUUUUGGUCCCAUCAAUCAGUGAUAUCAAUAAAUCAUUUAAUUUUACAGAGAAGUGUCAGGAAAAUUCUGAACAAUUGCCAGUAAUUUCUUUGCAACUCUAGGCAGCAGCAGUGCAUAUCUGUCACAAGUCUAAUGAGCUCUGAGCUGUACUAGCUGAAACUUGGAUAGUUUUCUGGGCAUACUGCAAAACCAUGUGGAUUUGAGAGCAAGAAGGAAGGCUACAGAGCUUAUUAGGGAUACUUUCCUGCCUUCCUGGCUGCCAAAGGUAAUCCUGUGUUUGUGGGACAGGCAUAGUUCAGCACAGGCAAUUAAACUCAUCUUGGUUUUUGA